rnacentral:rRNA from 1 species
CACGUAGGGUGCGAGCGUUGUCCGGAAUUAUUGGGCGUAAAGAGCUCGUAGGCGGUGUGUCGCGUCGGCCGUGAAAACCUGCAGCUUAACUGUGGGCUUGCGGUCGAUACGGGCAUCACUGGAGUUCGGCAGGGGAGACUGGAAUUCCUGGUGUAGCGGUGAAAUGCGCAGAUAUCAGGAGGAACACCGGUGGCGAAGGCGGGUCUCUGGGCCGACCCUGACGCUGAGGCGCGAAAGCGUGGGGAGCAAACAGG